rnacentral:rRNA from 1 species
GUCGAGCGGCGGACGGGUGAGUAACGGCUGGGAACCUGCCCUGACGAGGGGGAUAACCGUUGGAAACGACGGCUAAUACCGCAUAAUGUCUACGGACCAAAGGUGGCCUCUACAUGUAAGCUAUCGCGUUGGGAUGGGCCCAGUUAGGAUUAGCUAGUUGGUAAGGUAAUGGCUUACCAAGGCAACGAUCCUUAGCUGGUUUGAGAGGAUGAUCAGCCACACUGGGACUGAGACACGGCCCAGACUCCUACGGGAGGCAGCAGUGGGGAAUAUUGCACAAUGGGGGAGACCCUGAUGCAGCCAUGCCGCGUGUGUGAAGAAGGCCUUCGGGUUGUAAAGCACUUUCAGCAGUGAGGAAGGUCGUGUACUUAAUACGUGCACGGCUUGACGUUAGCUGCAGAAGAAGCACCGGCUAACUCCGUGCCAGCAGCCGCGGUAAUACGGAGGGUGCGAGCGUUAAUCGGAAUUACUGGGCGUAAAGCGCAUGCAGGCGGUUUGUUAAGUCAGAUGUGAAAGCCCGGGGCUCAACCUCGGAACCGCAUUUGAAACUGGCAGGCUAGAGUCUUGUAGAGGGGGGUAGAAUUUCAGGUGUAGCGGUGAAAUGCGUAGAGAUCUGAAGGAAUACCAGUGGCGAAGGCGGCCCCCUGGACAAAGACUGACGCUCAGAUGCGAAAGCGUGGGUAGCAAACAGGAUUAGAUACCCUGGUAGUCCACGCCGUAAACGCUGUCUACUUGGAGGUUGAGGUUUUAGACUUUGGCUUUCGGCGCUAACGCAUUAAGUAGACCGCCUGGGGAGUACGGCCGCAAGGUUAAAACUCAAAUGAAUUGACGGGGGCCCGCACAAGCGGUGGAGCAUGUGGUUUAAUUCGAUGCAACGCGAAGAACCUUACCUACUCUUGACAUCCAGCGAAGCCUUUAGAGAUAGAGGYGUGCCUUCGGGAGCGCUGAGACAGGUGCUGCAUGGCUGUCGUCAGCUCGUGUUGUGAAAUGUUGGGUUAAGUCCCGCAACGAGCGCAACCCUUAUCCUUGUUUGCCAGCACRUAAUGGUGGGAACUCCAGGGAGACUGCCGGUGAUAAACCGGAGGAAGGUGGGGACGACGUCAAGUCAUCAUGGCCCUUACGAGUAGGGCUACACACGUGCUACAAUGGCAGAUACAGAGGGCAGCGAGACAGCGAUGUUUAGCGAAUCCCUUAAAGUUUGUCGUAGUCCGGAUUGGAGUCUGCAACUCGACUCCAUGAAGUCGGAAUCGCUAGUAAUCGUGGAUCAGAAUGCCACGGUGAAUACGUUCCCGGGCCUUGUACACACCGCCCGUCACACCAUGGGAGUGGGCUGCACCAGAAGUAGAUAGCUUAACCUUCGGGAGGGCGUUUACCACGGUGUGGUUCAUGACUGGGGUGAAGUCGUAACAAGGUAGCCCUAGGGGAACCUGCGGCUGGUCCACCUCCUUA